AGAGUUUGAUCAUGGCUCAGAUUGAACGCUGGCGGCAGGCCUAACACAUGCAAGUCGAGCGGUAGCACAAGAGAGCUUGCUCUCUGGGUGACGAGCGGCGGACGGGUGAGUAAUGUCUGGGGAACUGCCUGAUGGAGGGGGAUAACUACUGGAAACGGUAGCUAAUACCGCAUAACGUCUUCGGACCAAAGUGGGGGACCUUCGGGCCUCACGCCAUCAGAUGUGCCCAGAUGGGAUUAGCUAGUAGGUGGGGUAAUGGCUCACCUAGGCGACGAUCCCUAGCUGGUCUGAGAGGAUGACCAGCCACACUGGAACUGAGACACGGUCCAGACUCCUACGGGAGGCAGCAGUGGGGAAUAUUGCACAAUGGGCGCAAGCCUGAUGCAGCCAUGCCGCGUGCGUGAAGAAGGCCUUCGGGUUGUAAAGCACUUUCAGCGAGGAGGAAGGGUAGUGUGUUAAUAGCACAUUGCAUUGACGUUACUCGCAGAAGAAGCACCGGCUAACUCCGUGCCAGCAGCCGCGGUAAUACGGAGGGUGCAAGCGUUAAUCGGAAUUACUGGGCGUAAAGCGCACGCAGGCGGUUUGUUAAGUCAGAUGUGAAAUCCCCGCGCUUAACGUGGGAACUGCAUUUGAAACUGGCAAGCUAGAGUCUUGUAGAGGGGGGUAGAAUUCCAGGUGUAGCGGUGAAAUGCGUAGAGAUCUGGAGGAAUACCGGUGGCGAAGGCGGCCCCCUGGACAAAGACUGACGCUCAGGUGCGAAAGCGUGGGGAGCAAACAGGAUUAGAUACCCCGGUAGUCCAA
rnacentral:rRNA from 1 species